rnacentral:rRNA from 1 species
AGCGAACGUUAGCGGCGGGCCUAACACAUGCAAGUCGAACGCGAAAGGUCUUCGGACUGAUUAGAGUGGCGCACGGGUGAGUAACACGUAGGUAAUCUACCCUUUGGCGGGGGAUAACGUUCCGAAAGGAGCGCUAAUACCGCAUAAGACCACGGAGUCUCCGGACGCUGUGGGAAAAGGUGGCCUCUUCUUGAAAGCUAUCACCGGAGGAUGAGCCUGCGUCCCAUCAGCUAGUUGGUAAGGUAAUGGCUUACCAAGGCAAAGACGGGUAGCUGGUUUGAGAGAAUGAUCAGCCACACUGGCACUGAGACACGGUCCAGACUCCUACGGGAGGCAGCAGUAGGGAAUAUUGGACAAUGGGCGAAAGCCUGAUCCAGCCAUGCCGCGUGAUAGAUGAAGGCCCUCUGGGUUGUAAAUAUCUUUUAUCUGGGAAGAAACUCCUCUAUUCUUAGAGGCCUGACGGUACCAGAGGAAUAAGCACCGGCUAACUCCGUGCCAGCAG